AAUGGGGCUUUGACGAAACCAAGGGAUCCAGUCAAGUGACUUAAGAUAUAUUAUUAAAAUAACAACAGCACAAAAAUUUAGUCGAUGCACUUUUAAAUGAAGCAUUAUUAUAAACCUAUGAUAAAUAAAAAACAGUGGCUCCCUGUUGUCCAGUUGCGGAGAUGCCCACGGAAGCUUGAAGUCAUUGGCGACGUACUCAUGAGACUGAAAAGCGUCAAACUAUGUUGCAAUUGUGAUCUUCAAUUUGGCACGACAAUAUUGUAGUAGAAUACUCUUGAGCAAUUGAGUGGAUGAACAGAUCACGUAGGUGGUGACUUUUAUGGGGGUAGCAACUGGCGUCGGGAUGAGCAACAACUGGAAGGUAGUAGAAUGGCUGCGACGACGACUGGAAGGCAGCUAAAUGAUUGACGGUAGACGUUGUGGCAAUGACAAUGCAGAUAGAGCGGUGGCCGGGAAUGAGUGUUUUCGCUUGACUAGAAACGACAGGGGGUAAGUAGUCAGACUAGAGACUAGAAGAAUUGAUGAAGAUGGUGGUGGGUGGCAGCUAGCAUGCCGGUGAGUGGCAACUGGUGUAGCGGUGGGUGGUAGUGGCGUCGGAUUUGCAAGUACAAGAGGGAUGGCGGAGAGNGUCGGGAUGAGCAACAACUGGAAGGUAGUAGAAUGGCUGCGACGACGAUUGGAAGGCAGCUAAAUGAUUGACGGUAGAUGUUGUGGCAAUGACAAUGCAGAUAGAAUGGUGGCCGGGAAUGAGUGUUUUCGCUUGACUAGAAACAACAGGGGGCAAGUAGUCAAACUAGAGACUAGAAGAAUUGAUGAAGAUGGUGGUGGGUGGCAGUUAGCAUGCCGGUGAGUGGCAACUGGUGUAGCGGUGAGUGGUAGUGGCGUCGGAUUUGCAAGUACAAGAGGGAUGGCGGAGAGUCGACAGCAAAUUUUAUGGUUGGUGGCAGAGUUUCCUGAUAUGGUGAGUAGAGGAUUGAGUGGUAUGUCAGAGGUGGGGCUUCGAUCUUGCCGACGACAGGAUCUAAGUUGGAGAUGGUGGUGUUAUACGGCGAUGGAUGAAGAAACUAUAGAGUUUCUACGAUACCGGAUCGUUUAGGGUUGAAGAUGAUGGCGGUGAUGAUGAAGCAGGUGAUGUGGUUGCCGGCGUGGAGGUCCUCGGCGGGAGUCGCAGCUGGAUGGGUCGCCGACGUGGAGGAUCGAAAUUCUGGAAUCGAUAAAUGGACGAGGUGAAAC
rnacentral:lncRNA from 1 species